rnacentral:tRNA from 3 species
GGGGAAGUGGCGGAAUUGGCAGACGCGCAAGACUUAGGAUUUUGUGCCGCAAGGCGUACGGGUUCAAGUCCCGUCUUCCCCA